rfam:Triticum aestivum genome assembly, contig: Triticum_aestivum_CS42_TGACv1_scaffold_579442_7BL
GCAUUACUCCCUCCAUCUGGAAAAACUUAUCCCUCAAAUGAAUGUAUCUAGCACCAAGUUAGUGCUAGAUACAUCCAUUUGAGAGACAAGCUUGGGACAAGCUUUUUCGGACGGAGGGAGUACUAA